UAGGAUUUGGUUAGGAUUUGGUUUAAGGUUCGAUUAGGGUUUGGAUUAGGGUUUGAUUUAGGAUUUAGGGUUUAGGAUUUGGAUUAGGAUUUGAUUUAAGAUUAGAGUUUGAUUUUGGAUUAAGGUUUAGGAUUUGGAUUAGGAUUUGGUUUAGGAUUAGGGUUUAGGAUUUGGUUAGGAUUUUAUUUAGGGCUUAGGAUUGGAAUUAGGGUUUGGUUUAGGGUUUAGGAUUUGGUUUAGGAUUUGGUUAUAAUUUGGUUUAGAAUUUGGUUGGGAUUUGGUUUAAGGUUUGUUUAGGGUUUGAUUUAGGGUUAAAGAUUUAAUUAGUUUUGGCCUAGAGUUUGAAUGAAGUUCGAUAGGAUUUUGACUAGAAUUAAAUAAAGUUUGAAUUGAGAUGUAUUUGAGUAAUAUUUGUGAUCAUUCUAAUAUUUCUUUAAGAAUUCUUAUUAUUGGUUUCAAAUUUCUUUGAAGUUUUUUUUUGAAAUUUGAUUAAGCUUGCCUAGCAUU
rnacentral:lncRNA from 1 species